GAUGAACGCUGGCGGUAUGCUUAACACAUGCAAGUCGAACGGACUCUUCGGAGUUAGUGGCGGACGGGUGAGUAACGCGUGAGAAUCUGGCUUUGGGUUCGGGACAACCACUGGAAACGGUGGCUAAUACCGGAUGUGCCGAGUGGUAAAAGAGAAAUUGCCUGAAGAUGAGCUCGCGUCUGAUUAGCUAGUUGGUGAGGUAAAGGCUCACCAAGGCAGCGAUCAGUAGCUGGUCUGAGAGGAUGACCAGCCACACUGGGACUGAGACACGGCCCAGACUCCUACGGGAGGCAGCAGUGGGGAAUUUUCCGCAAUGGGCGAAAGCCUGACGGAGCAAUACCGCGUGAGGGAAGAAGGCUCUUGGGUUGUAAACCUCUUUUCUUAGGGAAGAACAAAAUGACGGUACCUAAGGAAUCAGCAUCGGCUAACUCCGUG
rnacentral:rRNA from 1 species